UACAGAGGUGGCAAGCGUUGUUCGGAAUUACUGGGCGUAAAGGGCGCGUAGGCGGCCAUCUAAGUCAGACGUGAAAUCCCCCGGCUUAACCUGGGAACUGCGUCUGAUACUGGACGGCUCGAGUUUGGGAGAGGGAUGUGGAAUUCCAGGUGUAGCGGUGAAAUGCGUAGAUAUCUGGAGGAACACCGGUGGCGAAGGCGGCAUCCUGGACCAACACUGACACUCAGGUGCGACAGCGUGGGGAGCAAACAGG
rnacentral:rRNA from 1 species